rnacentral:rRNA from 1 species
UGGCUCAGAACGAACGUUGGCGGCGUGGAUUAGGCAUGCAAGUCGAGCGGGAUUACCUUGAUUCAAUCUUUCGGGAGAGAAACUUGGUAUGAGAGCGGCGAACGGGUGAGUAAUAAAUGGGUAAUUUGCCUCUUUGUUCGGGAUAGCCAUCGGAAACGAUGAUUAAUACCGAAUGUGUUCAGGUGCUUCAUGGCACCUUAUGUAAAGGCGGGGAUUCUUCGGAACCUGUCGCAAAGAGAUAAGCCCAUUUCCUAUCAGCUUGUUGGUGAGGUAACGGCUCACCAAGGCUUACGGGUAGCGGGUCUGAGAGGAUGAUCCGCCACACUGGGACUGAGACACUGCCCAGACUCCUACGGGAGGCUGCAGUCGAGAAUCAUUGUCAAUGCACGAAAGUGUGAACAUGCGACGCCGCGUGGAGGAAGACGGCCUUUGGGUUGUAAACUCCUGUCAGCAGGGAGUAAGAAUGGAUCACCUAAUAGGUGUUCUAUUUGAUAGUACCUGCAGAGGAAGUCACGGCUAACUCUGUGCCAGCAGCCGCGGUAAUACAGAGGUGGCGAACGUUGUUCGGAUUUACUGGGCGUAAAGGGUCCGCAGGCGGUUUGGUGUGUCAGAUGUGAAAGCCCACAGCUCAACUGUGGAAUUGCAUUUGAAACUGCCGAACUAGAGUACUGGAGGGGAGAAGGGAACACUUGGUGUAGCGGUGAAAUGCGUAGAUAUCAAGUGGAACACCGG